ensembl:lncRNA
GUCUACACAUAUCCAUUAUCCAUGCUCAGGUGGUAGAGCAGGUUGUUCACUAAUUGUAGGUAGGGAUGUCACGAGAACCGAUACUUCGGUACCAACAUUCUUAAAACGUGACGGUACUUGUUUUUCUGUAGUUCUGUUGGUCUCGGGUGUAACGAAAGUACCUAAAGUUCCGAGGUUGCGACUUUUCCGAACCUGAAGGGGGCAGCAAAUACGCGCAAGUGUUUCAGUCCGGCCACGAGUGGUAAAGAAGAAGAACUACGCACACGGGAAAAACUACAAAAGUUUUCCCCGUGUGUAUCUUUGUUUUUCUAUACCUCGCAUUCGAGGCGGAUAAAAACGGACAUAUAAUUGAUGCUCUGAAGCCGGUGUGCAAACGAUGCCAUCGUACACUUCAAACAAAGGGAGGAAACGCCUCGAAUUUGGCGAAGCACCUGAAAGACAGGCACCCCAGUCUCUUCAAAGACUUCAAGUAUCAGCCAGAGGAGGAUGUCCAACAGGAGAGUCGGGAGCAAAGUCAGCAAACAUUAACACAGCCAACCUUAAGAGAAGCUUAUAAAAGGCACAGAAAAUAUGACAAAAACUCAAGCGAAGAAAGGAAACUGGAUAGGGCAGUUGCUGAAUGCAUAUGCAUGGAUCAAGUUAGAAAAAGCAUGGAUUCCAGCAAAUGCUUCAGCAGUUCAACCCCAGAUACUACCCCAGAAAUUACUUCAUGUAUACAGAGAUCCCCAACCUAUACACCAAAACCAGAGACCUCAUUUCAGAACAUCUCCAAGAAAAACCAUUUUAUGCCUACAUAUUUAUUAUAUAUCUAUUUUGUAAUUGCUUUUUUUAUUAUUAUUAUGACUGUUGCCACUAUAAUUUUUUUGCAAUGCUCAAAUGUUUAAAUAAAGGAAUUAAUGUUUAAGUAUUAUUUAUUUAUUUAUUUAUUUAUUUUUACACACCGUGGUAUCGACUUUAGUAUCGAGUAUCGUGUACUUUUGCUGGUAUCGGUACCGACUACUAGAUUUUUGGUAUCGUCCACAU